AGUGAACGCUGGCGGUAGGCCUAACACAUGCAAGUCGAACGGCAGCACAGUAAGAGCUUGCUCUUACGGGUGGCGAGUGGCGGACGGGUGAGGAAUACAUCGGAAUCUACUUUUUCGUGGGGGAUAACGUAGGGAAACUUACGCUAAUACCGCAUACGACCUACGGGUGAAAGCAGGGGAUCUUCGGACCUUGCGCGAUUGAAUGAGCCGAUGUCGGAUUAGCUAGUUGGCGGGGUAAAGGCCCACCAAGGCGACGAUCCGUAGCUGGUCUGAGAGGAUGAUCAGCCACACUGGAACUGAGACACGGUCCAGACUCCUACGGGAGGCAGCAGUGGGGAAUAUUGGACAAUGGGCGCAAGCCUGAUCCAGCCAUACCGCGUGGGUGAAGAAGGCCUUCGGGUUGUAAAGCCCUUUUGUUGGGAAAGAAAAGCAGCAGGUUAAUACCCCGCUGUUCUGACGGUACCCAAAGAGUAAGCACCGGCUAACCUCGUG
rnacentral:rRNA from 1 species